GGGACUGUUUCCGAGCCGCGGUGGAAACCUUCCCUUCCCUCAAGGCCGAGACCAGACCGGUUCCUCUCUGGUCCGGUUCCAGCCCGCUGUGCUGUGGAGGCCUCUCAGCCACUCACGCGAGGAGGCACUUGUUUCUGUGAAUGUAUCCUGAACACAGAGGGAAAGUAAACCAGCGUUCUCCUCCCAUUCGCUUCUUGUCUCCUGCUUUUGGAUGGACGCUCAAUCUGGGACUACGUACAUUGGUACAUGUGACCUUCAAGAAUGGUACAGGCUUCAGGAACUUGCUUCAAAAAUUCCAUUAACAGAGUCCAUCCAUAUAUCAGCAUUAAGAAAUCCUGAAAGUGCCAAGAAGACAGUGGAGAGUAUUCUGGCUCAAAUUAAUUAAAGAAUCAACAGAGAAGGGCCCUGGAAACCGGAGAAUCCGGGUUUGGGAGUUCUCUACAGGAAGUGAAAGAAGGUUCCGGAGGAGUAUUGCUUGCUUUCUGGUUGGUCCCAUUUCUGAGAGCUGAGGGGGCCGAAUCCACAAACUCAGUGACAACGACCGACAGAGCACAAGGAAUCUGAAGACUUAGAGAAGAUUUAUGUUGCGCCAACGUUUCAUAUCACCUGACCGUGACACCUGCUUUUAGGCUAAUCCCAGUGGGGGAAAAUGCCGACCGUGUGAAGAUGUGGAACUCUCCUCGUGUCUGGGCAACCGAAGUCAAGAAGGCCCAGCCUUGCCACUGAUGGUGAGAGAAGGAGAAUCUUGCUAUCUGCCAUUUUGAUGAACCAUUUUUUCCUGAUCCUCGGAGGGAACGUGUUCUUUCUACAGUUCACGUGAGCUGAUGAGUUUGGCUGGAACACAGGAAUGGACAUGUCCUAGUGUGUAUGGGAAUCAUUAAAAAAAUAAUUCCAGAAAUUA